rnacentral:rRNA from 1 species
UACGGGGGGGGCUAGCGUUGUUCGGAAUCACUGGGCGUAAAGGGAGCGUAGGCGGCCAUGUAAGUGAGGUGUUAAAUCCCCCGGCUCAACCGGGGACCUGCACCUCAUACUGCACGGCUUGAGUACAUCAGAGGAGACUGGAAUUCCCGGUGUAGCGGUGAAAUGCGUAGAUAUCGAGAGGAACACCUGCGGCGAAGGCGGGUUGCUGGGCUGACACUGACGCUGAACUGCGAAAGCUAGGGGAGCGAACGGG